AUCUUUCCAGUUCAUGAAAGUGAUGAUUGGAUGUUCACAGUUCAUCUGUGAAAGGUGCUGCCUUCACUUGUUACGCUGUGCGCCUCAGCCUUUCUGAUC